rnacentral:rRNA from 1 species
UACGAAGGGGGCUAGCGUUGCUCGGAAUCACUGGGCGUAAAGCGCACGUAGGCGGAUUGCUAAGUCAGGGGUGAAAUCCUGGAGCUCAACUCCAGAACUGCCUUUGAUACUGGUGAUCUUGAGUAUGGAAGAGGUGAGUGGAAUUCCGAGUGUAGAGGUGAAAUUCGUAGAUAUUCGGAGGAACACCAGUGGCGAAGGGCGGCUCACUGGUCCAUUACUGACGCUGAGGUGCGAAAAGCGUGGGGAGCGAACAGG